UUUAUGGAGAGUUUGAUCCUGGCUCAGGAUGAACGCUGGCGGCGUGCCUAAUACAUGCAAGUCGAGCGAACGGACGAGAAGCUUGCUUCUCUGAUGUUAGCGGCGGACGGGUGAGUAACACGUGGAUAACCUACCUAUAAGACUGGGAUAACUUCGGGAAACCGGAGCUAAUACCGGAUAAUAUUUUGAACCGCAUGGUUCAAAAGUGAAAGACGGUCUUGCUGUCACUUAUAGAUGGAUCCGCGCUGCAUUAGCUAGUUGGUAAGGUAACGGCUUACCAAGGCAACGAUGCAUAGCCGACCUGAGAGGGUGAUCGGCCACACUGGAACUGAGACACGGUCCAGACUCCUACGGGAGGCAGCAGUAGGGAAUCUUCCGCAAUGGGCGAAAGCCUGACGGAGCAACGCCGCGUGAGUGAUGAAGGUCUUCGGAUCGUAAAACUCUGUUAUUAGGGAAGAACAUAUGUGUAAGUAACUGUGCACAUCUUGACGGUACCUAAUCAGAAAGCCACGGCUAACUACGUGCCAGCAGCCGCGGUAAUACGUAGGUGGCAAGCGUUAUCCGGAAUUAUUGGGCGUAAAGCGCGCGUAGGCGGUUUUUUAAGUCUGAUGUGAAAGCCCACGGCUCAACCGUGGAGGGUCAUUGGAAACUGGAAAACUUGAGUGCAGAAGAGGAAAGUGGAAUUCCAUGUGUAGCGGUGAAAUGCGCAGAGAUAUGGAGGAACACCAGUGGCGAAGGCGACUUUCUGGUCUGUAACUGACGCUGAUGUGCGAAAGCGUGGGGAUCAAACAGGAUUAGAUACCCUGGUAGUCCACGCCGUAAACGAUGAGUGCUAAGUGUUAGGGGGUUUCCGCCCCUUAGUGCUGCAGCUAACGCAUUAAGCACUCCGCCUGGGGAGUACGACCGCAAGGUUGAAACUCAAAGGAAUUGACGGGGACCCGCACAAGCGGUGGAGCAUGUGGUUUAAUUCGAAGCAA
rnacentral:rRNA from 1 species